UGUCUCCUGGUACUGACCACAGGCUGUGUUCUUCCACUGACUGUCUAGAAAGAGGAGGAAAAGUAAACCCACCCUAUACAUACCUCAGCCCGGGCCCUGUACCUCAUUUGUACUGUGAAUGGGGGGACAUUG
rnacentral:snoRNA from 1 species